rnacentral:rRNA from 1 species
UAAAAUUGCAGUUGAUACUGUCAGUCUUGAGUACAGUAGAGGUGGGCGGAAUUCGUGGUGUAGCGGUGAAAUGCUUAGAUAUCACGAAGAACUCCGAUUGCGAAGGCAGCUCACUGGACUGCAACUGACACUGAUGCUCGAAAGUGUGGGUAUCAAACAGGAUUAGAUACCCUGGUAGUCCACACAGUAAACGAUGAAUACUCGCUGUUUGCGAUAUACAGUAAGCGGCCAAGCGAAAGCAUUAAGUAUUCCACCUGGGGAGUACGCCGGCAACGGUGAAACUCAAAGGAAUUGACGGGGGCCCGCACAAGCGGAGGAACAUGUGGUUUAAUUCGAUGAUACGCGAGGAACCUUACCCGGGCUUAAAUUGCAGUGGAAUGAUGUGGAAACAUGUCAGUGAGCAAUCACCGCUGUGAAGGUGCUGCAUGGUUGUCGUCAGCUCGUGCCGUGAGGUGUCGGCUUAAGUGCCAUAACGAGCGCAACCCUUAUCUUCAGUUACUAACAGGUCAUGCUGAGGACUCUGGAGAGACUGCCGUCGUAAGAUGUGAGGAAGGUGGGGAUGACGUCAAAUCAGCACGGCCCUUACGUCCGGGGCUACACACGUGUUACAAUGGGGGGUACAGAAGGCAGCUAGCGGGUGACCGUAUGCUAAUCCCAAAAUCCUCUCUCAGUUCGGAUCGAAGUCUGCAACCCGACUUCGUGAAGCUGGAUUCGCUAGUAAUCGCGCAUCAGCCACGGCGCGGUGAAUACNNNCCCGGGCCUUGUACACACCGCCCGUCAAGCCAUGGGAGCCGGGGGUACCUGAAGUACGUAACCGCAAGGAUCGUCCUAGGGUAAAACUGGUGACUGGGGCUAAGUCGUAACAAGGUAACC